rnacentral:rRNA from 1 species
UAUUGGGCCUAAGCAUCCGUAGCCGGUUCUACAAGUCUUCCGUUAAAUCCACCUGCUCAACAGAUGGGCUGCGGAAGAUACUAUGGAGCUAGGAGGCGGGAGAGGCAAGCGGUACUCGAUGGGUAGGGGUAAAAUCCGUUGAUCCAUUGAAGACCACCAGUGGCGAAGGCGGCUUGCCAGAACGCGCUCGACGGUGAGGGAUGAAAGCUGGGGGAGCAAACCGGAUUAGAUACCCCCGUAGUCC